rnacentral:lncRNA from 1 species
CUGAAUGAUGGCACCCCUGGAUCUGUUUUCGGAACAUAGGAAGCUGUCCGUGCCAUCAUCAAUAGGGCAGCAGCGUCUUCUGCGUCUGGAUGACUGCGUCAUCAUGUAUAAGAAUAAGAAUAAGAAUAAGAAUAUACAGAUGAUAAGCAAAGAUUGAUUUUAGUCUGAUGAACUUACACUUUAGUUGGAGCUGGGGGAACUGUGGGUGUGGUCUCUUGAAGUUGUUUGGGGGUUUCAGGAGUGCUGCACAGUUACAAAAAAUUAAUCACGGCGUAAAAGAAACUAAUCAGGAACA